CUAUUAUUCUAUAAGGUGGGUGACUGUUUUGAUCCCUGGGUUCCCCCUUGUUCCUCACAAGGCACAAUAGAACAAAGUGCUAAAAGUAGCAAUGCACCAAGGAGGAGCAGGUUCCCUGUGGCUGCUCUGAGGUAGCUUCCAGAAGCAUCUUUCCUCUCUGACAGCUAUUGGCAGAAACAAGAAGCCAAGCAGGUGCUUCCUUGAAUUGGGGUCCAUCUGCCUCCAGCCUAGCCCUGCAUUCCUCAGGGUCUCAUCGUCCCUCUCACUUCCAGGUACAAGCCCCACGCCAAGACUAUAAUUCACAGCUCACCUUGCACCAGAGGAGGACCUGAAAGUGGCUUCAUCUUCCAUAUCCAGCCCUCUGUCUGGCACUGUGGAUCCCCAGAUGAUUAAGGCAUGGCAUCUGCUGUGAGAGACAGACAGACAGACAGACAGACAGAUAGGCAGAGAAGAGGAUAAACAACUGCUCUCCCAGUCCAGGCAAACCUGUGGAGCCAACACAUCCUCUGGACUUGGUUUGCAGGUCUUUUGCAGGGAACCAACACCAUCACUCUUCUCCUAGAAACAAGAGGCUCUAGGCCGGGACAAGGCCUAUCACUUCUGGACAUCUAGACCAGCCACCAAAUGGUCUAGCUGACUCAACCUGGGAAGCUGGGACAAAGAAGGGGAAUCAGGAAAAUCAGAAACUCCUGUGGCCAGGCAAGCUCCAGUGACCAAGGUGUGAUCAUCCCAGCGCUGAAAAGAUCACACCAACCCUGUGUCUCCCACACCAACCGAAGUGUCCCCACUGUGCAAGAAGUUGGGGUGUAAAGACCUCAGAGAGAACUAAGUUGGAGUUCAGAUCCAAACUCCAUUUCUUCUGUAACAUGGCAACUGAGUUUCUGUUCAUUCCUUUGGAGAUUGAGGACAUAACACCUUAUCUCCCUGGGCUGUCGUAUGUUCAUAAUGUUCACAAUAAUGUAUGUGAAAGGCCUGAG
rnacentral:lncRNA from 1 species